CGGCUUAACUACAUCUCUCGGAUGUGAAUUUUUGAGGGAUGUAGCUAGGUCAACCUCAGUUGUUGGUAUUAAAAAUCAGGACUAGGAAUCAGGAAAUCUGGGCGUAAAUCCCAGCUCUGUGCCGUACUACCUUUGUGACACUAGGGAACAUUUUUACGGAGGUAACUGUCCAUUCUAGGCAGAUAAGGCCUGAGCUACACUCAGUUUUUGUACAGUAUAACUUACAGUUAGGGGUCUGGUUUUUUUUUCUGAAGUGAUUAUAAUGGUACAACCUCUGGGAUGGAUGCAGUUAUGCCAGUACAAGUAGAUGGGAAUAACCUAUAUAACAUUUAUAGUUGUGAUAAGCACAUUUAACAGGUAUAACUGUACCCACACUAAGUGGCUGGUAGUUAAAGUGGUGCAGACAUGGUCUUGUGGGGGUGGAAAGUGAGAGCUUUAUGUUGUGACGUUUCACCACGGUGCUUUGACUGUAUCACAGUGAUUCCUUUGAAACAACCUCCAUUCCCCUCACGCAAUCUUAAUAUGUUCCCCUCCAAGAUAAAUCCACUGAACCUCACACAAAUAUGAGACAGGUUAAAUGAAUAAAAUCGAGUAAAAUGUGGUUUCAGGUUCUCCAAAAACAUCUGUCAUCUGAGGUUGUUCCUGUGAGAAGCCUCUGUUCAAUGGUUUCUGCUGCACUUUACUACUUUGAUCUGCAGAUGGUGCUGUUUACCAUAGGAUUGGCUACAAGUGAUGUCUUUGGUAUGAGAUUUGAGGUACAAAUUGACCUGGUCUCGUGGGACUGGAAGCAACCUGAAUCUUUUGUGAACUUUGAUGUACGGCUACCAACUAGCUUUCCUGGGUGGCAAGAUAGACUGGAGUGUCCAAGGGGAUUGUCUGGGACUCUGUGGAGUACUGUGUGCUUCUGAGUGGCAUCAGGGCCUACUGACGUCUAUGGCAGCUGAGGGCAGAAAGCACUGCACACGACCUGAACUCAAAGCAGCAAGCCACCAGCACAAGGGAAGGACUGGCCCAUUGUUUUGCCAUUUACUUGAUUUAAUUCUGGAUUAACUUCCCUGCUAUUCACAUGAUUUGCUGUCUGUCAAACUACUUUGCAAGGAUGCUGCAUCUCUGUUUCCAAGGCCUCUAAAUGAAGACAUACGCCCCUCUUUUAGGCAUUAAAAUACAAAUUUAGACAAACUGUCAGUGAGUUAAUCAAAGCUAAAGGAUAAAGAAUAAUGAUUGUGCAUAUUGAAAAAUGUAUGGCAGAGGUACAAUCAGAAUAACUGAAUGGCUAAUGAGUUCUAAUGUACAUCCUGUACAAGUUCUUUUCACAUAUACUGUAGUCUCUUUUGUUAUGGGGAAAAAAAGGCUAGAAUUAAAACUUAAUAAAGGCUGUUCACCUCUUUAUUUUCUGAAGCGAUAAAAGCUACAGGUAACAAUAAAAAAAUUGGAUUUAAAAUUUAGGAUUUUAAUAAACCAGAUUUUUCCAUUUUACAGUUUCAGGGGCUGUGUUUUGGAGGGUUCUUUUUUUUUUUCAAGCUAGAAAAAAUAAUAGAGAAUCAGUUUCAGGAGAGGUCAUCUCCAUGUGAAAAUUCAAAUCUAGGGGCUUAAGGUUUAAUCACUGGAAAUGAAUGGGAAAGGAUUUUUGCACAGAGUGCUGUAAUACAAUCUGGAGGCCAAAGUCUAAUUUUAGUUCUAGAUUAGUUUGUGGAAAGUCAUAAUCAUCAGCUAAGAUAUUGGGCCAGAUCCUUGACCCUAGGUCUGGCUGCUUUGUGCUGUUCUGGCCGCUCAUAGCCAGUUAAGGUGGCUUUCUGACUGCAAGCUGAGGAGUCCCUGGGCUUCUCAGCUGGGUCCCAUCUCCUUUCCUACUUAGUGUUUUCUGGCCAUUUGUCAAUUUACAGAGCUAGAGCGUU